GCUUGCUUUUUGCUGACGAGUGGCGAACGGGUGCGUAACGCGUAUGCAACCUACCUUCUUCUGAGGAAUAGCCCAGAGAAAUUUGGAUUAAAACCUCAUGAUAAUAUUUAUUCGCAUGUUUAAAUAUUUAAAAUUUCGAUGGAAGAAGAUGGGCAUGCGUAACAUUAGUUUGUUGGUGAGGUAAUGGCUCACCAAGACUACGAUGUUUAGGGGGUCUGAGAGGAUGAUCCCCCACACUGGUACUGAGACACGGACCAGACUCCUACGGGAGGCAGCAGUGAGGAAUAUUGGUCAAUGGACGAAAGUCUGAACCAGCCAUGCCGCGUGAAGGAUGACUGCCCUACGGGUUGUAAACUUCUUUUGUAUA
rnacentral:rRNA from 1 species